ACUCCUACGGGAGGCAGCAGUGGGGAAUAUUGCACAAUGGGGGAAACCCGUAGAUGCAGCCAUGCCGCGUGUGUGAAGAAGGCCUUCGGGUUGUAAAGCACUUUCAGCGAGGAGGAAAGGGUGUAAGUUAAUACCUUACAUCUGUGACGUUACUCGCAGAAGAAGCACCGGCUAACUCCGUGCCAGCAGCCGCGGUAAUACGGAGGGUGCGAGCGUUACUCGGAAUCACUGGGCGUAAAGAGCGUGUAGGCGGAUAGAUAAGUCAGGAGUGAAAUCCUAUGGCUCAACCAUAGAACUGCUCUUGAAACUGUCAAUCUAGAAUGUGGGAGAGGUAGAUGGAAUUUCUGGUGUAGGGGUAAAAUCCGUAGAGAUCAGAAGGAAUACCGAUUGCGAAGGCGAUCUACUGGAACAUAAUUGACGCUGAGACGCGAAAGCGUGGGAGCAAACAGGAUUAGAUACCCUGGUAGACUGUCAU
rnacentral:rRNA from 1 species